rnacentral:rRNA from 1 species
GACGAGUCUCACGAACGUUAUUCGGAAUUACUGGGCUUAAAGGGUGCGUAGGCGGUGAAGUAAGUCGGGUGUGAAAUACCAUAGCUUAACUAUGGAACUGCACUCGAUACUACUUUGCUAGAGUAAGACAGAGGUGAGUGGAACUGAGGGUGGAGCGGUGAAAUGCGUUGAUAUCCUCAGGAACACCGGUGGCGAAGGCGACUCACUGGGUCUUUACUGACGCUGAUGCACGAAAGCUAGGGUAGCAAACGGG